rnacentral:lncRNA from 1 species
ACUUCUUCCCGCGCUGUUAACUAUCAUGGACUGUCAUUUGGCGGCGUCCAUGAGAACAGCAUGGGAAUUCCGUCAGCGGUUCUGGAUGGACAUUAGGUUACAGCCGAUCUGUGACCAAUGCCGCAAGCGAGCUACCCCAGACCGACAGGACUGUCUUGCUGUAAGUGGACAGAACCCUGGUCAGAGAUAUCUAGGAAGGUGGUCUGAGCUCUAGUUGGGUGAUUUGGCGUCUGGGGUAUCUAAAGGUGGAUAGAUUUAUGACAUUUCAGCUGCAUUAUUCACUCCUUUAACAAAGUUUUUAACCCUGACGAACACCAUUAUUGAGGUACAAGGACCUUUAUGGUGACAUGUGGGGAUCCGAUAUCAUGUACCCCUCCGUGAUAGUCCUGAGGGGAACAUGUAAUCAUACUGAGUCAAGUGCUUCAUAUUGGUUGUUUCCGAGCUGGGGUUAAAUUCUCUUGUGACUGGAUGGUUGGGUGCAGCUGAACUAGAGUAAAUCUAUUUUUUGCAACAGUACCUCUUGCGUCGGAAAGUCUGACUAGGGUAAAGGUCAUCUGGUCCAGAAUAUCUGACUGACGGACUAUCACAGCCUGCCAGCCCCCGGAGGAGGAGGAGGCGCCGUCCACGGCGCAGAGGUCGUCGCCAUCCCGAUCUCUCCCGGAGGAGGCGCCGUCCAAGGCGCAGAGAUCGUCGCCCUCCCGAUCUCUCCCGGAGGAGGCGCCGUCCACGGCGCAGAGAUCGUCGCCCUCCCGAUCUCUCCUGGAGGAGGCGCCGUCCAAGGCGCAGAGAUCGACGCCGUCAUCCCGAUCUCUCUCCAUAUGCCCCCGGUCCAUAAGAGGACACGGGGGACGUGCCUGGAGGUGGCACUGAGACACUGCCAUGUUUCUUGAUGGUUUGACUUUCUUCACACUGAGCCACAGUGUGGAGGCAGUCAAAAGGGCCGUGCUAAGGGCCCAAGGGUGUGACAUAGUGGCAGGUCUGUGUCGCCGUAGAGCGGGGAAAUUCCGUUAGGCAAGUACGAUGUUGGGUUCCAAGACUGGACGCAUCCGAAGCAUUAGUGCCUUUUCCUGAAGGAGAUUGUCCAACGUCUCGGACAGUCACCUGGUCAGGGUUUUCGAAUGCGUGGAGUCUAACUCUAGAUGGAUGACUUAGCAACGGAAAUAUUUGGAACUCAGUUGGUUUUGUCAUUUUUCAACUUCGAACUGUCACUUCUUUGACAAUGCGUUUAAUUCCAAAUACAGACAUGAAUCUGACACGAGUAUGGCUUUACAGCAUCAUGAUUGGAACGUCAGGCCUGUGCGGUCGGGCUUGAUGGACCAAUGGACCGCCAUGUGUGUUGUACUGCUCUGUAAAUCUUGUGCUGGAGGAUUGUUUGUGUCUGGACUUCCAUACAUUGUGAAAGAAUGGACAAAACUAGUUGGGACGUGACUAAAUCUUCUUGAGGCUUCAUCUAUCUUCUUUGCUGGGAAGU